AGUGAACGCUGGCGGUAGGCCUAACACAUGCAAGUCGAACGGCAGCACAGUAAGAGCUUGCUCUUACGGGUGGCGAGUGGCGGGCGGGUGAGGCAUACAUCGGAAUCUACUUUUUCGGGGGGGAUAACGUGGGGAAACUUACGCUAAUACCGAAUAUGACCUACGGGUGAAAUCAGGGGAUCUUCGGACCUUGCGUGAUUGAAUGAGCCGAGGUCGGAUUUGCUAGGUGGCGGGGUAAAGGCCCCCCAAGGCGAAGAUACGUAGCCGGGCGGAGAGGAUGAUCCGCCACAACGGAACGUAGGAACGGUCCAGACUCCUACGGGAGGCAGCAGUGGGGAAUAUUGGACAAUGGGCGCAAGCCUGAUCCAGCCAUACCGCGUGGGUGAAGAAGGCCUUCGGGUUGUAAAGCCCUUUUGUUGGGAAAGAAAAGCAGCAGGUUAAUACCCCGCUGUUCUGACGGUACCCAAAGAAUAAGCACCGGCUAACUUCGUG
rnacentral:rRNA from 1 species